rnacentral:lncRNA from 1 species
CCGACUCGCACCUGAGGCUGCUGGAGGAGCGGCUGCAGAGCCACUACCGCCGCGUGGUCGCCCUGGACGCCAGCAACGCCAACCUGAGCCGGGCGCUGAACGCCACGCGGAGGGACAAGGACAGGCUGCAGGGGCUGGCGCUGAAGGCGCACAGGGAGCUGGAGAGGUGCAACAGCAGCCAGGCGGCCCGCGGCAUCCCGCAGCUGCAGGAGCUCCUGUUCCAGCAGGUGAAGCUGGUCGAGUGCAAGGUGACCACCACCCUCAUCAACACCACCUGCAACGCCGAGAAGCUGCAGCUGCAGCGGCAGCUGGACCAGGCCAGCUCGUCCAAGAAAACCCUGGAGGACGGCGGGCGGCAGAGCCAGGCCCAGCUGGCCAAAGCCACCCAGGAGAGGGACAGGUGCCAGGAGGAGCUGCAGAGCGCCAGGACGCGCGACGAGCUGAGCAGGAUGGAGCUGGAGGUGCAGCGGCACCGCUGCGGCUCGCUGCAGAGCGACCUGGGCGAGAAGCUGCCGCGCGUCGCGGAGCUGGUGAAGCAGCUGCGCUGCGGCGACGCCGAGGCCGAGCUGCGGCAGAUCCGCGAGCGCGUGGAGGGGCUGCUGCGGCGGCAGCAGGAGCGCGACUCGCAGUUCGUCUGGAGGAGCAGCUGCGAGCUGAGCGUGCAGCAGUGCCGCCUCAACUGCUCCCGCGACCUGCAGGAGCUGCGCAGGAGCCUGCAGGGCCUGCAGCAGCGCCACAAGGACGGCGAGGAGGAGAGCAAGAGGCUGCAGGCCGAGAAGGACAAGGCGCUGAAGGAGAUGGAGGACAAGAGGAAGGCGGCGGCGGCGCUGGCGGAGUCGCUGAGGGAGCAGCUCGGGAUCUGCAUGGGAACCAAGAUGUCCCAGCAGGACCUGCCGGGCUCGCGGGCGCUGGGCAGCGCCGGCCACUCGGGCUCUUUCCUCAGCAUGGGCACCAACAUGGAGCUCCUGAGGAGCCUGGCCACCCUGGGCACCAUGGAGAUGCAGAACCCGGCGGAGCUCCAGCGGAUGCUGCAGCUGGUGGAGCAGCACAUGACCACCCUGAAGAACGCCAGCGGAUAAGGCUGGAAAAGCCCAGGAAAAGCAGGAGAGCCGCCCAGGAGGUGCUUCCCGCAGCACGGAUGGCAACCCCGGCCCAGGGCCACGCUCCCCGUGUCCCCGUGUCCCCGUGUCCCCGUGUCCCCAGCCCCGCGUGUCCCCUCGAUGUAUCCCCGCCUUUCGGCUGGAGCGGGACAACAGCCGGCCCCGAAUCUGGGGACAACUC